rnacentral:rRNA from 1 species
UACAGAGGGGGCAAGCGUUAUUCGGAAUUAUUGGGCGUAAAGGGCGCGUAGGCGGCCAUUCAAGUGACGGGUGAAAGCCCUCGGCUUAACCGAGGAACUGCCUGUCAAACUGCAUGGCUUGAGACCGGGAGAGGUGAGUGGAAUUCCCAGUGUAGCGGUGAAAUGCGCAGAUAUCAGGAAGAACACCCGUGGCGAAAGCGGCUCUCUGGAACGGUACUGACGCUGAGACGCGAAAGCGUGGGGAGCGAACAGG